GUCGAGCGGUAAGGCCCUUCGGGGUACACGAGCGGCGAACGGGUGAGUAACACGUGGGUGAUCUGCCUCGUACUCUGGGAUAAGCCUGGGAAACUGGGUCUAAUACCGGAUAUGACCACGAAUCGCAUGGUUUGUGGUGGAAAGAUUUAUCGGUGCGAGAUGGGCCCGCGGCCUAUCAGCUUGUUGGUGGGGUAAUGGCCUACCAAGGCGACGACGGGUAGCCGGCCUGAGAGGGCGACCGGCCACACUGGGACUGAGACACGGCCCAGACUCCUACGGGAGGCAGCAGUGGGGAAUAUUGCACAAUGGGCGGAAGCCUGAUGCAGCGACGCCGCGUGAGGGAUGACGGCCUUCGGGUUGUAAACCUCUUUCGACAGGGACGAAGCGCAAGUGACGGUACCUGUAGAAGAAGCACCGGCCAACUACGUGCCAGCAGCCGCGGUAAUACGUAGGGUGCGAGCGUUGUCCGGAAUUACUGGGCGUAAAGAGCUUGUAGGCGGUUCGUCGCGUCGAUCGUGAAAACUUGCAGCUCAACUGCGAGCUUGCGGUCGAUACGGGCGGACUAGAGUACUGCAGGGGAGACUGGAAUUCCUGGUGUAGCGGUGAAAUGCGCAGAUAUCAGGAGGAACACCGGUGGCGAAGGCGGGUCUCUGGGCAGUAACUGACGCUGAGAAG
rnacentral:rRNA from 1 species